rnacentral:rRNA from 1 species
UAAGACGGAAGGUGCAAGCGUUGCUCGGAAUCACUGGGCGUAAAGGGUGCGUAGGCGGCUUGGUGGGUCUGGUGUGAAAGCCCCGGGCUCAGCCCGGGAAGGGCACUAGAAACUGCCGAGCUGGAGUGCCGGAGGGGAGAGUGGAAUUCCUGGUGUAGCGGUGAAAUGCGUAGAUAUCAGGAGGAAUACCGGUGGCGAAAGCGACUCUCUGGACGGCAACUGACGCUGAGGCACGAAAGCGUGGGGAGCAAACAGGAUUAGAUACCCUGGUAGUCCACGCCGUAAACGAUGGGCACUAGGUGUCGGGGGUAUCCACUCCCUCGGUGCCGCCGCUAACGCAUUAAGUGUCCCGCCUGGGAAGUACGGUCGCAAGAUUA